UUUCCGUAGGUGAACCUGCGGAAGGAUCAUUAUUGUAUAACCGAGGUGCGAGGGCUGUCGCUGACCCGAAAGGUCGUGCACGCCCGAGUGCCCUCACACACAUCCAUCUCACCCCUAUGUGCACCACCACGUGCGUCCCCCUUUGGCUUGUUCGGAGGGGGGCUUACGUUUUCACACAAACUUUGUAUGCAGUGUAGAAUGUAUUUUUUGUUUUUGCGAUCACGCAAUCAAUACAACUUUCAACAACGGAUCUCUUGGCUCUC
rnacentral:misc_RNA from 1 species